rnacentral:rRNA from 1 species
AUUGAACGCUGGCGGCAGGCCUAACACAUGCAAGUCGCACGAGUGGCGGACGGGUGAGUAAUGUCUGGGAAACUGCCUGAUGGAGGGGGAUAACUACUGGAAACGGUAGCUAAUACCGCAUACCAUCAGAUGUGCCCAGAUGGGAUGAGCUAGUAGGUGGGGUAAUGGCUCACCUAGGCGACGAUCCCUAGCUGGUCUGAGAGGAUGACCAGCCACACUGGAACUGAGCCACGGUCCAGAAUCCUACGGGAGGAAGCAGUGGGGAAUAUUGGACAAUGGGAGGAAGCCUGAUGCAGCCAGGCCGCGUGUAUGAAGAAGGCCUGCGGGUUGUAAAGUACUUUCAGCGGGGAGGCGUUACCCGCAGAAGAAGCACCGGCUAACUCCGUGCCAGCAGCCGCGGUAAUAC